rnacentral:rRNA from 1 species
UGGGGAAUAUUGCACAAUGGGCGCAAGCCUGAUGCAGCAACGCCGCGUGAACGAUGAAGGUCUUCGGAUCGUAAAGUUCUGUUGCAGGGGAAGAUAAUGACGGUACCCUGUGAGGAAGCCCCGGCUAACUACGUGCCAGCAGCCGCGGUAAUACGUAGGGGGCUAGCGUUAUCCGGAAUCACUGGGCGUAAAGGGUUCGCAGGCGGAAAUGCAAGUCAGGUGUAAAAGGCAGUAGCUUAACUACUGUAAGCAUUUGAAACUGCAUAUCUUGAGAAGAGUAGAGGUAAGUGGAAUUUUUAGUGUAGCGGUGAAAUGCGUAGAUAUUAAAAAGAAUACCGGUGGCGAAGGCGACUUACUGGGCUCAUUCUGACGCUGAGGAACGAAAGCGUGGGUAGCAAACAGG